rnacentral:rRNA from 1 species
UAGGGAAUCUUCCACAAUGGACGCAAGUCUGAUGGAGCAACGCCGCGUGAGUGAAGAAGGUCUUCGGAUCGUAAAACUCUGUUGUUAGAGAGGAACACGAGUGAGAGUAACUGUUCAUUCGAUGACGGUAUCUAACCAGCAAGUCACGGCUAACUACGUGCCAA